rnacentral:lncRNA from 1 species
AUGACCUGCUAUUUCAAUAAUAAAUACAUAACCUAAAAUUUUAAAUUAGAGUAAAUAGUAGUUUUUGUUUAAUAUAAACAUAACUUUGUUCUGCUUGGUAUUACAUUACAUAUUACAUUAAUAAAUUUAUUGUGUUACAACUUACAGAAACAGAAAAUCUACAGACCCUAGUACUUACUGCUUUCAAAACAUUAAACAUGGUAUCUGAGAUGAAAUUCAUUAUAUCAGAAAACGAAAAAGUAAUCCAUACUAUAACUAAAGAAACAAAUUCACUGACUCUAGUAAAAACAUUGGAAGAGUUUCAACAUGCAGUGAACACAAAACUAACCAAGAUGAUUGAGGAACUUGGUGGUACUGGUGAUGAAGACAUGGAAAGUGAAAGUGAAGAUUGUGAUGAUGAUGAGAAUGAAGACAUAUCAAUAUUACCCAAAAAAAGGAGAAAAUAAAGUUAUGUAAUUUUUUUUAAAUUUUAUAUGUGUAAAUAUGAAAAUAAAAGUACUGAUAAACUAAAUAAAUUAAA